ensembl:lncRNA
AGAAAUUUUGCAGGUGCAAUUAAGUUAGCCAAUCAAUAAACCUAACAAUCGAGAGAUUAUCCAGGUGGGCCUGACUUAAUCAUAUAAACUCUUUAAAUCUGGGUGUAGAGGUUAGCGACAGAGAAAUCAGAUACUAGAUGCAUCCUUUCUGACUUGAAGAUGAAGGCAAUUUUGUGACAAGUGAUGCUGGUGGCAUGUAAGACCUGUAAGCAGGCCCCAGCUGACAGUCCGUUAGAAAGGAAACAGGGGCUGCAGUUCUCCAACUGCAAAACACGGAAUUUUGCUUGAAAUUUAACUUGGAAGCAGACUUUCUCCCAGAGCUUCUAGAUGAAAACUCAGCCUGGCCAACCCCUUGGUGUCAGCUUUGUGUUACCCUGAGCAGGUACCCAAGACAUAUGGUUCUGGACUGUGGACCCACGGAAAGGGUGAGCAUCCACAUCUACCACCCGUGACCAGACUUCUCCACCUGUUGGCGAGCUUAAGUUAAAGUUAUCAAUAUAUGCCCCAAAACAGCAAUCACCUGGAUGAGAAGCAGAUGACAUCUAAUGUAGACUGUGAAUCCCAAGACACAGACCAGGUAAAGAUUUGAAGAUAUACCUUGCAGUCAGCCAAAAACAAACUAUAGUACUGUGUCUAUCAAAAUGUCCCUGGACGGCUGCUUUCUCUCACAAUGCCAAGACCCUGAUUACACUCUGGUGACAAGAGCUACUUUCAAUCCAAGGAAAGAAGAGGCUUUCUCACUAUUCACACGCGGAGGCACAUGGCAUUUCCUCUGAAACCCAUGAAGCAGACCUCUGCAGCAGUGUUUCCUCGUGCUACGAAAUGGGGCCAAUUCUGGCCAUUAUGUUCACCAGCUUUAUAUAUUCCCUUACUUAUACAAUAGUAGGAAAAUUAAAGUUAAUUCUUUUCAGUUUUGACGGUAUCUAAAAGGCCUUUAUUUGAUGUCAAUAAGUAUCCCAUUUAAAAAUGAGAAAACAAGAAUAUUCACUUACUAUGAAGUGGGUACAUGUAUAGGAGAGAGAAAAAUAGGAGACAAAAGAUGAUAUUGUGAGUCCUUAAUUUUAAAAUGAUAUAAUUUUGUUUUGAAUUAAAGUUUUUGACAAAAUAUCAUUUAACCUGCUAUUGAAGGUACUUCCAAGUUGAUAAAACUAUUAAGAUAAAAAUGAAUUUCAUAUUUUAAGCAAAAUGUGAAAGUAGUACCCCACUUAUUAAAUACAUCGUUCAAACCUCAAUAGAACAGUAUUACAUCUCUAAUUUGUAUCUGCUUAUUAUAUAAUAAAUAUUGGAAAUCACAACACUAAUCAUCGUAGAUAAAAAGAUAUGUAACUUUUGAAUGGUAGAAAAUUUUAACGUUAAUUUAAAAAAAUUAGCCUGAGGUAAAGACAAUAAGAGAAUCCCAUGAAAUGCUUAAUGAAUCAUUUAUUUAAAUCUUCUCAUCAUGAAUUUUUAUCUUUUCACACCAAACUUUUAACUUAAAAAAUCACAUUUUAAAUAGCUUUAUUGAGGUAUGAUUUGCAUACAAUAAAAUUCACUUGUUUCAUGUAUAUAAUUCAAUGACUUUUAAUAAACUUGGUGUUGUGCAACCAGCACUGCAGUUCAAUUUUAAAGAUCUUCAUCACUGAAAAAGAGCCUUUGUGCCUGUUUGCAGUUAUUUCUUGUCCACACCUCAGCUACAGGCAACUAUUAACCUAUUUUACGCAUCUAGAGAUUUGCCUUUCAUAUAGAUGGAAUGAUCCAUUUUGUGGCUUUUUGUGUCAGGCUUUUCAUAAACAUAAUGUUUUUCAAGUUUGUCCAUGUUGUAGAAUGUGCUUGUUUCUCUUUAUUGCUGAAUGGUAUUUCGUUGUCUGGAUAGACCACAUUUGUUUAUUCAUUGAGUAGAUGGACAUUUGACUUAUUUCUAGUUUUUCGGGUUUUAUGAACAAUGCUGCUAAACAUCCUCAUAAAAAUAUUUGUGUGGACAUUUUUCCAUUUCCAUUAGAUGGAUCCUAAAGAUGGAAUUUCUAGAUUGUAUGGUAAAUUUAUGUAUAUCCUUUCAAGAAACUGUCAAACACUUUUCCAAAGUGUCUACAUCAUUUUAUAUUCCCACCUGCAAUGUAUGAAGCUCCAGGGCUGUCCCACUGUAGAAACAGCAUGGAGAACGACUCAAAUGUCGCAGCCAACUGACCCAAUUAACUCCCAGACAUGGCAAUGUGCUACCUUAUAUCACGCAGCACUGGUCAAUUCAUCAAGUGAUGGCAGCUCUAAGCAAGAUGAGCCAACAAAGUUCCAAGCUGAGCCUGGUCCACAUUGGAGUAUCAUGAGUGGAUAAAUGCAAACAAAUACCAUUGUCGCAUAAAAUCUUCCUUGUUGCAAACAUAGAAAGAAUAUUGGAUCAUAUGAAACUUUUGUUUUAUUAUAAGUAGAAGUUCUAUUCCUAAAUAACAUUUCUGCUUUUGAAUUAUUGGUGUU